rnacentral:rRNA from 1 species
CAGCCGCCGCGGUAAUACGAAGGGUGCAAGCGUUACUCGGAAUUACUGGGCGUAAAGCGUGCGUAGGUGGUCGUUUAAGUCCGUUGUGAAAGCCCUGGGCUCAACCUGGGAACUGCAGUGGAUACUGGACGACUAGAGUGUGGUAGAGGGUAGCGGAAUUCCUGGUGUAGCAGUGAAAUGCGUAGAGAUCAGGAGGAACAUCCAUGGCGAAGGCAGCUACCUGGACCAACACUGACACUGAGGCACGAAAGCGUGGGGAGCAAACAGG